UACGUAGGGGGCUAGCGUUGUCCGGAAUCAUUGGGCGUAAAGCGCGUGUAGGCGGUCCGAUAAGUCCGCUGUGAAAGUCGGGGGCUCAACCCUCGGAUGGCCGGUGGAUACUGUCAGGCUUGAGUACGGAAGAGGCGAGUGGAAUUCCUGGUGGUAGCGGUGAAAUGCGCAGAUAAUCAGGAGGAACACCAAUUGCGAAGGCAGCUCGCUGGGACGUUACUGACGCUGAGACGCGAAAGCGUGGGGAGCAAACAGG
rnacentral:rRNA from 1 species